rnacentral:rRNA from 1 species
AAGACCUUGCACUUUUGGAGCGGCCGAUGUCUGAUUAGCUAGUUGGUGGGGUAAUGGCCUACCAAAGCUUCGAUCAGUAGCUGGUCUGAGAGGACGGCCAGCCACACUGGGACUGAGACACGGCCCAGACUCCUACGGGAGGCAGCAGUGGGGAAUUUUGGACAAUGGGCGCAAGCCUAAUCCAGCCAUGCCGCGUGAGUGAAGAAGGCCUUCGGGUUGUAAAGCUCUUUCAGCCGGGAAGAAAAGGUUGCGACUAAUAAUCGCAAUUCAUGACGGUACCGAAAGAAGAAGCACCGGCUAACUACGUGCCAGCAGCCGCGGUAAUACGUAGGGUGCGAGCGUUAAUCGGAAUUACUGGGCGUAAAGGGUGCGCAGGCGGUUUUGUAAGUCAGAUGUGAAAUCCCCGGGCUUAACCUGGGAACU